rnacentral:rRNA from 1 species
AUACGGAGGAUCCGAGCGUUAUCCGGAUUUAUUGGGUUUAAAGGGUGCGCAGGCGGCCAUUUAAGUCAGCGGUUAAAUCGUGGGGCUCAACCCCAUUCUGCCGUUGAUACUGGGGCUUGAUUGCGGUCGAGGUUGGCGGUAUUCGUUGUGUAGCGGUGAAGUGCAUAGAUAUGACGAAGAACACCGAUUGCGUAGGCAGCUGACCAGACCGCAAAUGACGCUCAUGCACGAAAGUGCGGGGAUCGAACAGGAUUAGAUACCCUGGUAGUCCGCACAGUAAACGAUGAAUGCUUGUUUUCGGCGAUAUAAUGUCGGAGGCAAAGCAAAAGCGAUAAGUAUUCCACCUGGGGAGUACGCCGGCAACGGUGAAACUUAAAGGAAUUGACGGGG